AGGCCAGGAGAGAGAAGCAGGGUCUGAUCCGAAGCCUCCAUGGCAUCUGCUGAUCAGCCUUUGCCUCUCUCUCUCUCUGGG
rfam:Myotis davidii contig84701, whole genome shotgun sequence.